rnacentral:misc_RNA from 1 species
GAUGAAGAACGUAGCGAAAUGCGAUAAGUAGUGUGAAUUGCAGAAUUCAGUGAAUCAUCGAAUCUUUGAACGCACAUUGCGCCCCUUGGUAUUCCAUGGGGCAUGCCUGUUCGAGCGUCAUUUGUACCUUCAAGCUUUGCUUGGUGUUGGGUGUUUGUCUCGCCUUUGCGUGUAGACUCGCCUUAAAAUAAUUGGCAGCCGGCGUAUUGAUUUCGGAGCGCAGUACAUCUCGCGCUUUGCACUCAUAACGACAGCGUCCAAAAGUACAUUUUACACUCUUGACCUCGGAUCAGGUAGGGAUACCCGCUGAACUUAAGCUUAUCAAUAAGCGGAGGA